AUACGGAGGGUGCGAGCGUUAAUCGGAAUUACUGGGCGUAAAGCGCGCGUAGGCGGUUUGGUCAGUCGGAUGUGAAAGCCCCAGGCUCAACCUGGGAAUGGCAUUCGAUACUGCCUGACUAGAGUAUGGUAGAGGGAAGUGGAAUUUCCGGUGUAGCGGUGAAAUGCGUAGAUAGCGGAAGGAACACCAGUGGCGAAGGCGACUUCCUGGGCCAAUACUGACGCUAAGGUGCGAAAGCGUGGGGAGCAAACAGGAUUAGAUACCCCAGUAGUCC
rnacentral:rRNA from 1 species